UACGGAGGAUGCAAGCGUUAUCCGGAUUUAUUGGGUUUAAAGGGUGCGUAGGCGGGAAAUAAGUCAGUGGUGAAAUCCUACAGCUUAACUGCAGAACUGCCGUUGAUACUGAUAGUCUUGAGUUUGGUUAAGGUAGGCGGAAUGUGUAAUGUAGCGGUGAAAUGCUUAGAUAUUACACAGAACACCGAUUGCGAAGGCAGCUUGCUGGGUCAUUACUGACGCUGAUGCACGAAAGCGUGGGGAGCAAACAGGAUUAGA
rnacentral:rRNA from 1 species